rnacentral:rRNA from 1 species
UACGAAGGGGGCUAGCGUUGCUCGGAAUCACUGGGCGUAAAGCGCACGUAGGCGGAUCUUUAAGUCAGGGGUGAAAUCCUGGAGCUCAACUCCAGAACUGCCUUUGAUACUGGGGAUCUCGAGUCCGGGAGAGGUGAGUGGAACUGCGAGUGUAGAGGUGAAAUUCGUAGAUAUCGGGAGGAACACCAGUGGCGAAGGCGGCGAUCUGGGUCGAUACUGACGCUGAGGUGCGAAAGCGUGGGGAGCAAACAGG